AGAGCGCGUCUUUAAAAACCGUGUCCAAUUUUCACAUUUUUAAAGAUGCGCUGUGUGAUUGUUGAAUAUUAUUUGGUUCUUUUACUGCAUGAAGCUUCCAAUGUCAGUUCUUGUCAUUGAUAUGACAUUCCGAUUUAUUGGGGGGUUCUUAUACAGGACAGUAUUUCUACAGCCCGAUGAGGCAACUUCAACUUUCUAAAUGAAAAAAAUGUGUUUCUUGUCCAUGGUUAGAAGAGGAUGACCCCGUUCUUCACAGCAAAAUUGUAUUCUUUUUUACUAUCGACAUUGAAGUGCAGGAGGCGACGGGUUAGCUUGUCCGCCUCACAGAGCAGAGGUGCAGCGUUCGAUUCCGGCUCCGGCCUUCCUUGUGAGCGUGUCCGCCCAUCCCUCGGUGGCUUCUCUGCGGAUGAAGGCGAGGUCUUCGCAGUGGACCGGACCACUCUGACUUCAGAGGAGGAAGACGGAGACGUGGAGGAGGAAAACGAGGAGGAGGAGGAGGAUGCCAAGAUUUUCAACGCCUGGAUGCAGCGCUACAGAGGUGGCGAGCAGCGGAAGACGACGGACGAGGAGCGGCAAGAAGGAAGCGCCGAAAGCACGAUCGGCGCCGAGCCUUCGGCACGUCUUCAAACCGAGCGACGAUCAUCGCUGCCGUGUCCGGCGACCCCGACGACGGCGCAGCUCGCCCGUCUGCACUCGUGCACCCGGGCUCCUGUGACGGCUAAGACCCUGCUGCGCCGUUCCUCCUCUCGCCGCCUGCUGCCGUCGCAGCAGGAGGGCGCCGCUUGCGCCCCCGCCGCCGAGAGAAGAUCAUCUCUCAUCCCAACCAUCCCCGAGGCCAACAUGCCUGAGAGAAAGAGCCAGUUCAGGAGACGCAACGUCAUGUCUUUGAGCGAUGCAGACAGCAUGUGUCUGAUCUGCCACCACGACCUGAACCGAGCAGCCGGCGGGAUCCGAGAGCUUCAGUGCACACACACCUUCCACAGAGAGUGUAUAGAGGAAUGGUUAUGGAGGAAACAGUCAUGUCCGACCUGUCACGUCCAAGUGUUCACGCCGCAGCAGGCUGCCUACUGGAGCUCCACCAGGGUGAUCGUACCCUGAGGGACAAAUCCACACCCGCUGGAGCUCCACCAGGAAAGGCGUCAAGGCUGCAGCGGCCUUCGAAAUUCCCACACAUCAAGUCACAUGAUCAGCGGGGGGGCGGGACUUGAUGAAAACAAGACUUCUGUGGGCACUGGGAGACUUCCUUGAUAUUGACAAGUUAUUUGAUGGACAUUUAAAGAAUAUACUGUAGAUGACACUCUUUUAAUCACGACUUUUUCUAAUAAUAGCUGCGCGCUUACAUGUUGGCUCAUUAUCGCAAACUGCUGCGAGCGCAUUGUGUAAAUAAACAGGGAGUGCCGACUCAUUCUGUCACCGCAUAAACUGCCGAGCAAAAAACAUUCAUGGGUGCUCUAAAUUGUCCAUCGCUACGAAUGACAGUGUGAUCGUAUUAAUGCGGUAGUUGUAUGUGGCCAGCUGGGAUGACCCGAGGUAAGAAAAACAUAAAAAAUGGGGUGCGUUCAAGUUCACAACCGCAGGAACUUCACUCUGUUGGCGAGAUCAUUAUUUUAAUAACAUUUGAUUUAAAAAAAAAAGGCAAGCCAAAUUUGACUUCUUAUCUUCAAACCUGUAAAAGAUUGACACUUGGCGUCGAGUUUCUGAACCAAUGACUGAUGCGUCUGUUAAAGAAUUAGCUGGUUCUGGUUGGAUGUGAAAGUAAUAAGUCAGUCCCUGCGGCUGAGGGCGCACUCACCGCAUUACACCGCCUGAAGUCAAAAAAAAAAUAUCUAUAUUGUCAGAUGGAGAGGAUAAAUAGUACAUAUGUUAUGAUGAGGAAAGUUCUUUCAUUCAUCUCUGUGUUUGCUUUAAUGAGGUACACACGCCCUCUGGGGCACAAAAAUAUUUUCCCAUUGACUGUCGAUCGCUCAAAGUUUGACAUGUGACAUAAAAUCAACAUUACAGCGCCCAAGAUGGCUACAUACGGCAUUUCUGUGUUCGGUGCUAACAUUUCAAAUUCCCGUUUGGGUCAAGCGGGGCAAAGUUGCAGUGCUAUAUGUGCCGUUUCUGUUUUACAUCUACUUGUACCACUACAUUAUUAAAGAUAAGAUUGCUAACAUUGA